rnacentral:rRNA from 1 species
GACGAACGCUGGCGGCGUGCUUAACACAUGCAAGUCGAACGGAAAGGCCCUGCUUUUUUGGGGUCCUCGAGUUGCGAACGGGUGAGUAACCCUUGAGUAACCUGCCCUUGACUUUGGGAUAACUUCAGGAAACUGGGGCUAUUACCGGCUAGGAGCUCCUGCUGCUUGGUGGGGGUUGGAAAGUUUCGGCGGUUGGGGAUGGACUCGCGGCUUAUCAGCUUGUUGGUGGGGUAGUGGAUUACCAAGGCUUUGACGGGUAGCCGGCCUGAGAGGGUGACCGGACACACUGGGACGGAGAUACGGCCCAGACUCCUACGGGAGGCAGGAGUGGGGAAGAUUGCACAAUGGGCGGAAGCAUGAUGCAGCAACGCAGCGUGCGGGAUGACGGCCUUCGGGUUGUAAACCGCUUUCGCCUGUGACGAAGCGUGAGUGACGGUAAUGGGUAAAGAAGCACCGGCUAACUACGUG